UGCUGCCAGUUGCAACGGGUGAAGCCGGGCACUCUGGCGGGACGUGCCAUCGACAAGAUGGAGGAAGGUGGGGAUGACGUCAAGUCAUCAUGGCCCUUAUGUCCAGGGCGACACACGUGCUACAAUGGCCGGCACAGCGGGAAGCGAGGCAGUGAUGCCAAGCGGAUCCCUUAAAGCCGGUCUCAGUUCGGAUUGAAGUCUGCAACUCGACUUCAUGAAGCUGGAAUCGCUAGUAAUCGCAGAUCAGCCAAGCUGCGGUGAAUACGUUCCCGGGCCUU
rnacentral:rRNA from 1 species